rnacentral:rRNA from 1 species
UACGUAGGGUGCAAGCGUUAAUCGGAAUUACUGGGCGUAAAGCGUGCGCAGGCGGUUAUGUAAGACAGAUGUGAAAUCCCCGGGCUCAACCUGGGAAUUGCAUUAGUGACUGCAUAGCUUGAGUGCGGCAGAGGGGGAUGGAAUUCCGCGUGUAGCAGUGAAAUGCGUAGAUAUGCGGAGGAACACCGAUGGCGAAGGCAAUCCCCUGGGCCUGCACUGACGCUCAUGCACGAAAGCGUGGGGAGCAAACAGG